rnacentral:tRNA from 1 species
GCCUCCUUAGCUCAGCUGGUAGAGCACUCGCUUCGUAAGUGAUAGGUCGUAGGUUCAAGUCCUAUAGGAGGCU